GCAGUCGCCGCGGGAAUACGUAGGGUGCAAGCGUUAAUCGGAAUUACUGGGCGUAAAGCGUGCGCAGGCGGUUAUAUAAGUCGGAUGUGAAAUCCCCGGGCUCAACCUGGGAACUGCAUUUGAGACUGUAUGGCUAGAGUGUGUCAGAGGAUGGUGGAAUUCCCGGUGUAGCGGUGAAAUGCGUAGAGAUCGGGAGGAACAUCAGUGGCGAAGGCGGCCAUCUGGGACAACACUGACGCUGAAGCACGAAAGCGUGGGGAGCAAACAGGAUUAGAUACCCGCGUAGUCCCUGUCUCUUAUAC
rnacentral:rRNA from 1 species